CUAUAACUCAGCUGUCGCUCGC
rnacentral:miRNA from 1 species